rnacentral:misc_RNA from 1 species
UGUCCGUAGGUGAACCUGCGGAGGGAUCAUUACUGAGUGAGGGCUCACGCCCGACCUCCAACCCUUUGUGAACACAUCUUGUUGCUUCGGGGGCGACCCUGCCGGCACUCUGUCGCCGGGCGCCCCCGAAGGCCUCCCAACACUGCAUCUUUGCGUCGGAGUUUAAAACAAAUGAAACAAAACUUUCAACAACGGAUCUCUUGGUUCGGGAAUCGAUGAAGAACGCAGC